rnacentral:rRNA from 1 species
GACGAACGCUGGCGGCGUGCUUAACACAUGCAAGUCGAACGAUGAAAGAGGAGCUUGCUCCUCUGGAUUAGUGGCGAACGGGUGAGUAACACGUGAGCAAUCUGCCCCCGACUCUGGGAUAAGCGCUGGAAACGGCGUCUAAUACCGGAUACGACAACCGAUGGCAUCAUCUGGUUGUGGAAAGAAUUUCGGUUGGGGAUGAGCUCGCGGCCUAUCAGCUAGUUGGUGAGGUAAUGGCUCACCAAGGCGACGACGGGUAGCCGGCCUGAGAGGGUGACCGGCCACACUGGGACUGAGACACGGCCCAGACUCCUACGGGAGGCAGCAGUGGGGAAUAUUGCACAAUGGGCGCAAGCCUGAUGCAGCAACGCCGCGUGAGGGAUGACGGCCUUCGGGUUGUAAACCUCUUUUAGUAGGGAAGAAGCGAAAGUGACGGUACCUGCAGAAAAAGCACCGGCUAACUACGUGCCAGCCGCCGCCGUAACAC